GGCCUCCCAAUGCUUACCACAAGCUGUGUUCUCUACACUGACUGUAUAGAAAGUGGAGGUACAGUGAAUGCUCCCCAUAUACACCUCAGACAAGACCCUUUGCCAGGUCUGUAUUGUGAAUGGGGAGACAAAA